AGGCAAAUUGUGGCACCUUAGGUA
rnacentral:miRNA from 1 species